rnacentral:rRNA from 1 species
CCUUGGCUUCAGAUUGAACGCUGGCGGCAGGCUUAACACAUGCAAGUCGAGCGGAAACGAUGAUAGCUUGCUAUCAGGCGUCGAGCGGCGGACGGGUGAGUAAUACUUAGGAAUCUACCUAGUAGUGGGGGAUAGCACGGGGAAACUCGUAUUAAUACCGCAUACGACCUACGGGAGAAAGGGGGCAGUUUACUGCUCUCGCUAUUAGAUGAGCCUAAGUCGGAUUAGCUAGAUGGUGGGGUAAAGGCCUACCAUGGCGACGAUCUGUAGCUGGUCUGAGAGGAUGAUCAGCCACACCGGGACUGAGACACUGCCGCAU